UGGCUCAGGACGAACGCUGGCGGCGUGCCUAAUACAUGCAAGUCGAACGGUCUUUUCUAUGGAAGCUUGCUUCCACUGAGAAGAUAGUGGCGAACGGGUGAGUAACACGUGGGGUAACCUGCCCAUAAGAGGGGGGAUAACAUCCGGAAACGGGUGCUAAUACCGCAUAGUUUUCUUGAUUGCAUGAUUGAGAAAGGAAAGACGGCCUUUGUGCUGUCGCUUAUGGAUGGACCCGCGGCGUAUUAGUUAGUUGGUGAGGUAACGGCUCACCAAGACGAUGAUACGUAGCCGACCUGAGAGGGUGAUCGGCCACAUUGGGACUGAGACACGGCCCAAACUCCUACGGGAGGCAGCAGUAGGGAAUCUUCCGCAAUGGACGAAAGUUUGACGGAGCAACGCCGCGUGAGUGAAGAAGGUUUUUCCGGAUCGUAAAACUCUGUUGUCAGAGAAGAACAAGUUGGAGAGUAACUGCUCCAGCCUUGACGGUAUCUGACCAGAAAGCCACGGCUAACUACGUGCCAGCAGCGGC
rnacentral:rRNA from 1 species